rnacentral:rRNA from 1 species
AUUGAACGCUGGCGGCAGGCUUAACACAUGCAAGUCGUGCGGUAACAGAGAGAAGCUUGCUUCUCUGCUGACGAGCGGCGGACGGGUGAGUAAUGCCUAGGAAUCUGCCUAGUAGUGGGGGAUAACUUGCCGAAAGGUAAGCUAAUACCGCAUACGUCCUACGGGAGAAAGGAGGGGACCUUCGGGCCUUUCGCUAUUAGAUGAGCCUAGGUCGGAUUAGUUAGUUGGUGAGGUAAUGGCUCACCAAGACCGCGAUCCGUAACUGGUCUGAGAGGAUGAUCAGUCACACUGGAACUGAGACACGGUCCAGACUCCUACGGGAGGCAGCAGUGGGGAAUAUUGGACAAUGGGGGGAACCCUGAUCCAGCCAUGCCGCGUGUGUGAAGAAGGUCUUAGGAUUGUAAAGCACUUUAAGUUGGGAGGAAGAGCAGUUAACUAAUAUUUGACUGUUUUGACGUUGCCGACAGAAUAAGCACCGGCUAACUUCGUGCCAGCCGCCGCAGUAA